UGUGUUAUCAGAUAGUGAUUUAUUGAUUUGCAGUUAUGCCCAUGAAUGAAUCCGCAGAGAGCUCUAUCAGGGUGGAUGGCGAAAGCCCAGUGUGCAGUCUAGAUGAGGCUCUUACUUCUGUGGGGUUUGGGACAUUCCAAGUGCUUGCUUACGCUUGGUUGGAUUGCAGAAGCAAUGGAACUUAUGAUUCUAUCCUUGGUGGGACCCGUGGUUAAGUCCCAGUGGGAUCUCUCCCCAGGCCAAGAGAGUCUACUAUCAACCGUUGUUUUUGCUGGCAUGCUUGUUGGAGCAUUUUCUUGGGGCCUUGUUUCGGAUUACUAUGGAAGGAGGCAGGCCAUUUUCCUCUUAUUUCCUUCCAUUCUGAGAUGCUUUGCCUUGGAAGGGUUUGCUAGGACCAACUAUUCUUACUGGCGGAGCUGGAUUAUUCAGUACUUUCUCCCCAAAUUACGUAUCCCUGUUGAUUCUUCGCUGCUUGGUUGGCGUUGGCGUUGGCGUUGGCGGGACGACUGUUUUCUGCUCCUGGUUUCUAGAGUUUGCUCCCUCCUGGAAUGCUUGUUUCUGAUAGUACAAUUGGACUGGAUGAAGAAUCUUCUGCGUCAGAAUAUACCCCUCUACUCUCGUCAACUAGAAAAAUAAAUCUGGAUUUUGGAUCAGGCUUCUCAUCGUUUGUUAUGCUUUUCUCAUCAAAACUAAUUCCAACGACGCUUUUUGUAUGGGUGUUACACUUUUGGAAAAAUAUUCUCUUUUUAUGGUAUGUUGUUGCUGGCUUCAGAACUAAGUAGGGAGCAAAGCAAAAGUGGCUCGAGCACUGUCUUGCGAUCAGAAAAUCUUCAGGAUGACAGCCUCCACGUAGAUGUAUUUAUUACUAGUUUGGCAGGUAUUGCAUGCACCGUCUCCUCCACCUGCACUUAAGGUUGAGGUUUGAGGAAUCCUCCAUGACAUGAAAUGUUUACUUUCUUUUUCUUUUUCUUUCUAUAUAUAUGCAUACAUGUAUCAUCCGAAGCAAUGACCGGGUAGUAUGUUUUCCUGAAACUCUAUGUUGUAGAGAUUCUGGGCUUAUUCUGUCAGCAAUUGUUGUGGAUACAAUUGGACGCAGGCUCUCGAUAUCAUUCAUGUUUGCCUCAGCUUGUAUUUUCCUCUCUCCUCUGUUUUACCAUCAAUCUGCAACUUUAACAACAACAUUGAUGUUCGGAGCUCGCAUGAGUAGCAGAGUACUCUCCACGCUUGCUACAAUAUAUGCUCAGGAGGUAAGCCCUGGAAUUCACGCAUUUCGUUGUAUCCGAAGGUGAAUGGUAGUACUUGCCAGUUCUUUUCAAGUUUCACACCUACUAGCGGUCAGUGUUGCAUGGUUCUGAAUAAUUGAUUGUCUUGGAUGCUGUUCCUGCGUUAUAUCCAACGGCUGUGAGGGCAACUGGUUUUGGGGUUGCAAGUGCUGUACGGAGGGUUGGUGGCAUGAUAACCCCCCUUGUAGCGGUCGGACUAGUGACCGGUGGCCAUCAUACAGAAGCUAUCAUCCUGCUAGACAUUGUGAUGGCUAUGUCAGGACUCUGUGUCCUGCUCAUCCCAGUCCAAACCAAGGGACAUGAAUUCAGUGACAGCGUAGAUGUAUCUGAUUCAAAACAAGUUGUUGCUGCCGGGCAGUAAUCUCAAACCCAAUCAAGCAUUGUAUAAAGGAAUGUUUUCUGUUAGACUUCCAAAACACCAAUGCAAAUCAUCCGCUAAGCUGCUCUGCAUUAUGUGGGAGUAAUGGUUCCCCCAAUGUAAAUCUCGUUUAUCUCCGAUUGCUUCUCCACCACUCUUUUUUUCUUUUGCUCGAAAUCUUCUCUACCUUGUAAGAUAUUACAUUAGU